AACGAACGCUGGCGGCAUGCCUAACACAUGCGAGUCGAACGAGACCUUCGGGUCUAGUGGCGCACGGGUGCGUAACGCGUGGGAACCUGCCCUUAGGUUCGGAAUAACUCCCCGAAAGGGGUGCUAAUACCGGAUAAUGUCUUCGGAUCAAAGAUUUAUCGCCUUUGGAUGGGCCCGCGUUGGAUUAGCUAGUUGGUAGGGUAAAAGCCUACCAAGGCGACGAUCCAUAGCUGGUCUGAGAGGAUGAUCAGCCACACUGGGACUGAGACACGGCCCAGACUCCUACGGGAGGCAGCAGUGGGGAAUAUUGGACAGUGGGCGAAAGCCUGAUCCAGCAAUGCCGCGUGAGUGAUGAAGGCCUUAGGGUUGUAAAGCUCUUUUACCCGGGAUGAUAAUGACAGUACCGGGAGAAUAAGCUCCGGCUAACUCCGUG
rnacentral:rRNA from 1 species